rnacentral:lncRNA from 1 species
GGGCUCCGUGUCCAACCAGCAGUUAGCAGGUGGCUGCGCUAAGGUGGCAGAGGAGGCGCCUAAAGAGGUGCCGGAGGACACGGCCCCGCCGGCGGACAAGCCUCAGCUGCUGCACGAUGCGGGCAUCUGUAAGCGGUUCAACGUGGGCUUGGGGUUUGUCUUCCUGUCCAUGACCGCCCUAGCCAGGGUCGCGCUCGAUCCCCCAGUGGACGUCUUUGUGUACCAGAGUAAGCUGCACACGGAGGGCUUCCUGGAGCCUGAAGGAGGACGAAACAGUGGAGGAGUCACCCAAGGGUGUGGAAACUACCUGUGUCACCGGACCUGGUGGGGUGUUCUGCAUUGGGAGUGAGAGGCGGCCAAAGGAGAAGAACAUGCAGAAACGCACAUCAAAAGGAGACGGGUACUACAACUGUGGAGGUCUAGACCAUCAUGCUAAGGAAUGCAAGCUGCCACCCCAGCCCAAGAAGUGCCACUUCUGCCAGAGCAUCAGCCAUGUGGUAGCCUCGUGUCUGCUGAAGGCCCAGCAGGCCCCUAGCGCACAGGGCAAGCCAACCUACUCUCCAAGGGAAGAAGAAGAAAUCCACAGCCCUGCCCUGAUUCUGGGGUUCCAAGA